GUCAACGGCCAUACCACGUAGAAAAAACCCGGUCUCUUCAACUCCUGGCCGUUAAGCUGCGUCGGGUCCCGUUGGUACUUAGAAGGGUGACCACUUGGGAAUACGGGAUGCUGUUGGCA
rnacentral:rRNA from 1 species